GACGAACGCUGGCGGCGUGCCUAAUACAUGCAAGUAGAACGCAGUGGCGAACGGGUGAGUAACGCGUAGGGAACUGCCUCAUAGCGGGGGAUAACUAUUGGAAAAGAUAACUAAUACCGCAUAAUGUGACAUGGACCUGCGUUGUAUUAGCUAGUGGGUGGGGUAAAGGCUCACCAAGGCGACGAAACAUAGCAGAACUGAGAGGGGGAUCGGCCACACUGGAACUGAGACACGGCCCAGACUCCUACGGGAGGCAGCAGUAGGGAAUCUUCGGCAAUGGACGGAAGUCUGACCGAGCAAUGCCGCGUGGAUGAAGAAGGCCUUCGGGUUGUAAAGUACUUUCGGCGGGGAGGCGGUACCCGCAGAAGAAGCACCGGCUAACUCCGUGCCAGCAGCCGCGGUAAUUC
rnacentral:rRNA from 1 species